rnacentral:piRNA from 1 species
UAACACAUAGACUUUAAAAAGCACUCCAGA